GACGAACGCUGGCGGCGUGCUUAACACAUGCAAGUCGAACGGAAAGGCCCUGCUUGCAGGGUACUCGAGUGGCGAACGGGUGAGUAACACGUGGGUGAUCUGCCCUGCACUUCGGGAUAAGCCUGGGAAACUGGGUCUAAUACCGGAUAGGAGCCAUUCUUAGUGUGAUGGUUGGAAAGUUUUUUCGGUGUAGGAUGAGCUCGCGGCCUAUCAGCUUGUUGGUGGGGUAAUGGCCUACCAAGGCGGCGACGGGUAGCCGGCCUGCGAGGGUGGACGGCCACAUUGGGACUGAGAUACGGCCCAGACUCCUACGGGAGGCAGCAGUGGGGAAUAUUGCACAAUGGGCGCAAGCCUGAUGCAGCGACGCCGCGUGGGGGAUGACGGCCUUCGGGUUGUAAACUCCUUUCGCUAGGGACGAAGCUUUUUGUGACGGUACCUAGAUAAGAAGCACCGGCUAACUACGUG
rnacentral:rRNA from 1 species